CAGUAGCCACGGUAAUACGGAGGGGGCUAGCGUUGUUCGGAAUUACUGGGCGUAAAGCGCACGUAGGCGGCUUGGUAAGUUAGAGGUGAAAGCCUGGAGCUCAACUCCAGAAUUGCCUUUAAGACUGCCGAGCUAGCAGGUGAGAGAGGUAAGUGGAAUUCCGAGUGUAGAGGUGAAAUUCGUAGAUAUUCGGAAGAACACCAGUGGCGAAGGCGGCUUACUGGCUCAUACUGGACGCUGAGGUGCGAAAGCGUGGGGAGCAAACAGGAUUAGAGACCCGCGUAGUCCCUGUCUCUUAUAC
rnacentral:rRNA from 1 species